GGGAGGUUGGCCCAGUUGGGCGGGGCUUAGUGUAACGGCUCCGUUCCCCACUAGGUGGCGCUGCUUAGCUUCCUGGGAUGGAUUGUUGUGGUGCUUGUAGGUGUGUAGGCGCAUGCGCAGGAACUGUAAAAAUGGCGUCCUCCACUUAUUCAGUCUCUAGUGCUCCCCGAGCAGCAAUCGCGGACCCGUCCUUUGUCUUCGGCUUCCGUCCAUUUCCCGCUUUUAUGUUGUCCGUGACCAAGCCCCAGGCAGCACCUCCCUCCUGAGUUUUAUCUCAGAUGUGGCUUUGUUUCCCAACCCCUUAUUUCUGAGGGACUGCCACUUUGACCCGCUCCGCCCCUCUGCGGGAGGGUUUCACCAAGCCGUGGCCUUGCCGGCCACACCCAGGAACGUUGGUUCACGGAAACCGUGCUGCUGCAGGUGCCCAGAGACUGCGGCCGGUGCCAACCCGCCCCAGGAAAAGUUCGCGAGAUAGCGUAGCAGCAGCGUUUCAGGGAUUAUGGAAAAUCACAACACACGUCCGGCGCCAGGCUUCAUCCCCAGCGACCUUGUUCCAGCAACAGCGAAUGUGGUUGUUCUCCGGGGUCCACUGGCACCUUUGCCUGUGGGGAGUCCUCCCAGCAGGGCAACCGCCUCUCCCCGUGUGGCCCGAAGACCCCGGACUUGACUCUGCUCCUGCGGAUUCGCCUUUCUCACCAGAGCUCCACCAGGCACACACAAAAUUGCCAGAUGAAGUUUCUCCAAGCGCUACUUUGAUCAAGUUAUUUCUCUGCUGAAGAACUUUCAGUGGUACUUGUCUAUGGAGUUACGUGGGAGCUCCAAGCAGCCGGGUGUCCUGCCUCAAUUGAUCUGUGUGAGAGCCUGACCGAUGGCUGAUACCUAGGAAGCGCUCUUGAUGUUUCCUUUUUGUUGUUGUUGUUCAUUUAGUUCUUGAAAGUGAAAUCAGGAAACUUAAUUGAAGGAAGUUCCAAUUUGUGUCUUUCACCAAGAUGAAUAUUAGAGAAUUAUCAAGAGUGGAAGCCACAUGUUAAAUAAAUAAAGACUGUAUGCAUUGAACAAAGUCUCUUCUCAGGGAUCCCAUAUCCUAAAUGAAAUAGGCACAUUAAGAUAUGACAGGUAAUACACUUUGGGAAAGAUAAGUGAUAUUUCAAUUAAUGACAAGUCGUAGAGAUCUUCAAGAGAAGCAAAGUGACUUUACAGCUGAAAGCUAACUCGUUGUUUCUCCAUUGGAUUUCUAAGAUGAGUAUUCAGCCAUGAGCAUAAUUAAACAAGUCCACAAGACAUGAGAAAUGGAUUACCCUUCAGAUUCUGGGUCAGGCAAGCCAGGUGGUCAAGAACACAGUGUUCUCUGCUUGAAAAACCACUGUUCAGUUGCCAGACUUCACUGCCCUUUGGGCUCUUUCGUUCUAUUUCUGGCCUUCGUCUCUUGCUCUGUCACACCAAUGCCCUUCUUGGUUUAGGUUUUAUGUCCUCAUCGUCUAACACAUCAAAGGAUCAAAGAGUUCAAAUCUCCUCAGGCUGCCAGUAUUUCAUUUAGUUAAAAAAAUAAACAAAAAUGAAGAAUUAUGCCCAUUUUCGUUGCAAGAAACCAAAAUUCAAAAUUAAGGCGAAAGCACAGAGGAGGAAUCUGUACAGUUCAAAACAAAAAACCAACCUCUUCAUAUACAUAUACCCUCUUACAAACUGCACCACUGAAUUUUAUGAAACAAUUUAGAUAUUGCUAAUCAAAAUCCUCAAGAUGCUAAUGCAUUCUCAAAUCAACCUCUGCCACUUUGUUGUAUGGAUGCAACAUUGGCAGAUUCUCUUUCAAUACCCAAAAUACCAUUUUUGGAACAAACUGGAACUUUUGAUUCAUUCAACAAACAAUUAUAUUAAGCACCUACUACGUGUCAGACACUUUGCUGGGUGCCGAGCAAGCAAAAUGGAAUGACUUUCUGAUUUCAGCAGAAUUCUGGUCUCUAAAGCAGUGCUUCUCAAACUAUUUUUUAUUAAGCUGUGCCCUCUUUUGAUAAACAUGAAUAUCCUUUCCCCACUUCCCAGAAAUUGUGACGAACCCUUCUAACAGAAUCACUGAUACACAGAACAUAGACUCUAUUUUCUGUGUAUUCUUCACAGACCAAAUAUCUUUGAGCUUUUACUUUUUAUUUUAAAAACAACAUACUUAUUUUCCAUAUACAAAACUGGAUUGGAAUAGUAAAGGUACUUUUUUCUGAGCCACAUAAACUACCCCACUCUCAGUCCCAGAGCUAAAAUUUAAAUUCCCUGUACCUAGCCCUAUUGAGAAUCACUGCUUUAAAGAGUUUUGGAGAAAACCAGGCAACCUCCAUCUCUCCCCUCCAAUCAAAUCUUAAAGGAAUUAGAAUUUUCCUACCUGACACAACAGCUGGUGGAGUAUCAUAAUCCUGUCUUGGGACUGAAUCUUUGAAUGAAAAGAGCAUGAGAGAGAAUGCAAUGAAGUACAAAAGAAAAUAAAAUAGAAUCUUAGCUCUAAAACGUGGAAGUGCCCACUGUAUGUCAUAUGAUUGCCUAAGCCCCCUGCCUUGAAACACUCAACUAGGGACUAUGAUCCCUAGUUUAUAGUUGAUACAAUGGUCCCCAGUACUGUCACAUGGUACCUGUUGUUAGGCCCCGUUGUGACCUGCCAGAGCAGUACAUGCUAUCCUAGAAUGCUGUCAGCUUCCUCAGUCUGUCAUCAUUUGGGCCCCUCUAUUGGGAAAUCGAUGUGGCAUUUUUACCCUCUCGGGUUGACACAAAUGUUCUACAAAGGAGCCCAUCUGGAAGGGGCCCAGAGCACAAUGUGAAACGAAGUUCAGGAGAACAAAAGAACUGAAAUUUUAAAAGAGAUAAAUGAAAAAUUUGUAGACUCCCACACUCUAUGGAGACUGAUGCACUUUGAGACUAGGAUUUUGUUAGUAAUCACUCAGCUCUGGCUCUGAUACCAGUGGCUGUUGGACAAGGCCAAGGAGCUUCGUGUGCUGGAAUUGUGAGAGCAGAGAUAAAUAGAAAAGAAUCCAUUCAACAGAUGAUUGCCAUCUUUUUCCAAAGUGUCAUAGCAUUGGAAGUGGCAAAUAGUAGGGAAAGGUUCACUUAAACUACAUCGCAUCCAUGUCAGACUUUCAGGUUAUAUGAAGCCAAAUACAUCUGUGUUUUGAAGAUGAAACUUUGGCUUAACACAAUUCUUUAAACCAAGGAUCUUAAAAAAGGUAAGUGGGACAUGGCUUAUGGCCCAAGGCCCCCCUUCUAAAAAUGGCCCCAACUCCCCUUAGAGAGGUAAACUCUGUAAAAGGGAUCAGGUAGUGCUCAUAUUCAAAUAAACUUCUAAAACAUGAUUAAAUAAAAUACAUGCUCUUGUGUGACCCUUAUUCUAUUCACAUAACCAGUAUUCAUUGCAUUUUUAAAAACUAAAACCUCAAACUUUAUUUUCCUAUCUUUCUCCAUUUUAUCUCCUUGCCACAAAAGGAUGAUGAUAAUCCCCCUUUCAAAAGCAAAUGGCAUGUGAGAAGAUACAAUAAAACUUGGACAUUGCAAGGCACUUUGGACCAGCAAAAUCCAACAUGGAUCAAAGAUUCAAAUGCAAAUAAACCUUGGGCAUGAGUUACUUUGUGUCUCAAAACAGGUAUGUGAAUGUGAGUCGAUCAUAAUAAUCUCCAAAUCUGGAAUAAGUAGAAUCAUAUUGAAAGGGCCUUCAAAUAUUUUAUUCAUAGUGGUAGUAUUUCCUAAUACCUUAAAAAAAACUGUAAUCACACAUUAUUACUACAAACUAAAAAAAGUUGAUUUAAAGACCAUGUCACUAGUCAUUUCCCAAGAAUAUGUUUUUAACAUUUAAAAAUAAAUCAUAAAAGUAAAUCAUGCUCAUUGUUGAAUACUUGGAGAAUGUAGAAAAGGAAAAUGAUUAAAAUAGAAAUGAUCUCUAAUCCCAUUAUCCAGAAAUAGCCACACUUAUUUUGUAUUUCUUACAGCCUUAUUUCAUAAAUAUUUUGUUCAUAGUUGAUACUCCACACGUGAAAAUUUACAUCCUGCUCUUGGAUUUAAGAUUAUAAAUAAUCCUUUUCCCAUCUUAAACUCCUAUAACUUCAUGCUGCCUCACAUUCUGGUUCAUGGAUGGAUUAUGAUUUAUUUAAUCAUUCUACUUCUUAGACAUUAUAAAGAACACUGGGCCAGAUAUUUCUUAGGUCUAAAGGCUUUUCUGUUAUUUUAGAAUAUUUCCAUAGAAUACCUUCUCAAAACUGUGACUGUGUGGUGAGUCGGCAGAACUGUUUUGAGGUGUCUUGACUGUCCACUUUGCUGUUCAACAGACACUUUUACAAAUUUAGAUUUCUAUCAUCACACCAUCGGUGAUUGAGAAUGUUCAUUUCCUCACACCUUCAUCAGCAAUAUGUUUUAUCUUGGUAACAUCAUUUAACGGGUUAUGUGUAUGGGUCCAUUUGAAUGUUUGAUUAACUCACUGUGUCUUUAGUUACUAUUUUUUUCAUAUGCUUUUUGGCAUCCUGUUUCUUCCUUCAUUACCCUAUUCAUGUUAUUUGGCAUUUUAUCUAUUGGGGCUUUUGUAUUCUGUUGCUAAUGUAUUUGAAUUCAGAAUCCAUUUUUUUUAAAUAGUAAAAGCUUAAUAUUUGCAAAUAAACUUUCACAAUAUUUGACUUUCA